rnacentral:lncRNA from 1 species
UCAGUCAGUCUGUUUUUACCACUGUUAACACUGGUGCCUGGUGGAGCCUGAGGAGGGGGUUUUGGUAGAGAGGAGUUGUGGGACAGUCUAGGACUCUGGUUACUGAUAACAAAGAGGGAGAUUCUGUUAAGAUUCAGGUUGUGUCACCUAAAUGAAUCCAUGGUCUUUUGAUGUUCUUAGAGUUCUCGAACCUUACGAACAGUGCUGAAAAACCAUCUCUCUGUUCUCUGUUCACUUGGGGGAUGGUGAGGGCAGAGGACCCCAUUGACAGAUGCACAGACUUCUAACCACAGGUUUUCAAGUAUUGUCAUGUACGAAGAACAAUUUUGUCACAUUUGCCAUUUGCUCUGUGCUCCUACGCAGGCGUAGGGGUUCAAAACCACAAGAGGGGUUGGAGGAGUACUGCUAUGCCUAAUGCGUGUGUUUCUGCAUGUUCAGCAAUGAUGUGAUGAUGUGAUGAUGUGAUGAUGGAGGCGUGUACAAGCUUCAAUAAAAUGUUGUGCUUUGGUGAAGUUCGUUGGAGUUGGUUGGUCUCUGAGUGAAGCGCUUACAACGCUAAGAUCUCAGGCGAGCUCCCCUUGGCCAAGUAAAAUCUCUGGUUGGCUCUCAGUGUGCUAUAUUGUUCUCGUCUCUGUGUAUCAGUGCUGUUGUGGUAUUUUCAGACCCAACAGUGUUAUUAGAAAACAAUGUUUUAAUACCAGAUUUAACAUCAGCUCCUGUCCAAUAGGGAGAAUGUGGAUUUGUGGACUUGUGGACGCUACAGUGACAUCAGGUCAUAGUAGCAUCGAAGCCUUUUUUAUUUUACCAUUGGAGCAAAACAGGAGAACUUUAUGGAGGACUUUUAUUGUAAAUGGACUGGUGCCGGCACCGCUGAUUGUUCAAGUGUGGACAACAAUUCAGGGUGUAUUUAAUGCUGAAGAGGUCUGUUCCUACGAUACGUGAUCCACUCGCUGCUUCUUCAAACGUAUGAAUACAUACAUAUAUUUACACUACAUUCAAAUCUUUCAGCAGUGUCGUCCGUCAGAUAAGCCCUAAUUUCAAUAUUGCAGUACUUACAGUGAGCUUUGACUCAUCUCCUGUUGGUUUGAGCUCAGACUCACUCUCCACUCGUUUUCUUAUAUUUGACCUCAUUUGGCGUUUAAAUAGAACAAAAAGUUCCAUUUCGUAUUCAACCUGUACUUAAGAACAGAUGAAGCCAGAGAGAAGCUUCCUUAGGAGCUGGUGUCUUUUAUUUCCCACAGGGAGAGCUGUUAAACCAACACUGAGUCUGAGUGAGGCUCUGACUCCUGCUCAUCUUCAUUUAGUGCUAAUAAAACACAUCAAACAUCUUCUAACA